GUAGGGGGCAAGCGUUAUCCGGAUNUACUGGGUGUAAAGGGAGCGUAGACGGUUUUGCAAGUCUGAAGUGAAAGCCCGGGGCUUAACCCCGGGACUGCUUUGGAAACUGUAGGACUAGAGUGCAGGAGAGGUAAGUGGAAUNCCUAGUGUAGCGGUGAAAUGCGUAGAUAUUAGGAGGAACACCAGUGGCGAAGGCGGCUUACUGGACUGUAACUGACGUUGAGGCUCGAAAGCGUGGGGAGCAAACAGGAUUAGAUACCCUGGUAGUCCACGCCGUAAACGAUGAUUACUAGGUGUUGGUGGGUAUGACCCAUCGGUGCCGCAGCAAACGCAAUAAGUAAUCCACCUGGGGAGU
rnacentral:rRNA from 1 species